GAUGAACGCUGGCGGCGUGCCUAACACAUGCAAGUCGAGCGAGAAUUUACGAAAUGAAGCUUCGGCAGAUUUUUGUAAAGGAAAGCGGCGGACGGGUGGGUAACGCGUGAGUAACCUGCCCUUAAGAGGGGGAUAACACAUCGAAAGGUGUGCUAAUACCGCAUAAUGUACAUUUGCCGCAUGACAGAUGUACCAAAGAUUUAUCGCUUAAGGAUGGACUCGCGUCUGAUUAGAUAGUUGGUGAGGUAACGGCUCACCAAGGCGACGAUGCGUAGGGGUUCUGAGAGGAAGGUCCCCCCACACUGGUACUGAGACACGGACCAGACUCCUACGGGAGGCAGCAGUGAGGAAUAUUGGUCAAUGGGCGAGAGCCUGAACCAGCCAAGUCGCGUGAGGGAUGACGGUCCUACGGAUUGUAAACCUCUUUUGCGGGGUAGCAAGAGCUCUACGUGUAGAGUAGUGAGAGUACCCGAAGAAAAGCAUCGGCUAACUCCGUG
rnacentral:rRNA from 1 species